GAUGAACGCUGGCGGCGUGCCUAAUACAUGCAAGUCGAGCGAACAGACGAGGAGCUUGCUCCUCUGACGUUAGCGGCGGACGGGUGAGUAACACGUGGAUAACCUACCUAUAAGACCGGGAUAACUUCGGGAAACCGGAGCUAAUACCGGAUAACAUGUUGAACCGCAUGGUUCAACAGUGAAAGACGGUCUUGCUGUCACUUAUAGAUGGAUCCGCGCCGCAUUAGCUAGUUGGUAAGGUGACGGCUUACCAAGGCAACGAUGCGUAGCCGACCUGAGAGGGUGAUCGGCCACACUGGAACUGAGACACGGUCCAGACUCCUACGGGAGGCAGCAGUAGGGAAUCUUCCGCAAUGGGCGAAAGCCUGACGGAGCAACGCCGCGUGAGUGAUGAAGGUCUUCGGAUCGUAAAACUCUGUUAUUAGGGAAGAACAAAUGUGUAAGUAACUAUGCACGUCUUGACGGUACCUAAUCAGAAAGCCACGGCUAACUACGUG
rnacentral:rRNA from 1 species